rnacentral:rRNA from 1 species
AGCGAACGCUGGCGGCAGGCUUAACACAUGCAAGUCGAGCGGGCAUCCUUGUGGUGUCAGCGGCAGACGGGUGAGUAGCGCGUGGGAACGUGCCCUUCGGUUCGGAAUAACUCAGGGAAACUUGAGCUAAUACCGGAUACGUGCGAGAGCAGAAAGGUUUAUCUGCCGAAGGAUCGGCCCGCGUCUGAUUAGCUAGUUGGUGAGGUUAUGGCUCACCAAGGCGACGAUCAGUAGCUGGUCUGAGAGGAUGAUCAGCCACACUGGGACUGAGACACGGCCCAGACUCCUACGGGAGGCAGCAGUGGGGAAUAUUGGACAAUGGGGGCAACCCUGAUCCAGCCAUGCCGCGUGAGUGAUGACGGCCUUAGGGUUGUAAAGCUCUUUUCUUCGGGACGAUAAUGACGGUACCGGAGGAAUAAGCCCCGGCUAACUUCGUG